ensembl:lncRNA
GAAUUAUAUAACAGGAACCUCAAGUAAAACCUUCAAAAUGCGCUGCUGACUUGGGAAUUUAUCUCUUAUUUUCAAAGGCUAUUUAAAGCCAGAUUCUGGAAAAUACAGCUAGUGCAGCAGAAAUGCUGUCACAUCCUGAAGCAGUGAUUGAGCACCUGGUGGGAUGUCAGGGCCUACCCAGGGAAGCUCAGGUGCAUGCAAUGCAAUGCAAUGCAAUGCAAUGCAGCUGUGUGACCGGAAGGGAUGGAGCCAGGAUCCACCCCUUCCCAGCUCUCAUUUAAGGGCUGGCAGUGGAGGUGAGAGUAUCUGUCUGGAGAUCUCUGUCUUCCUGAGGCCUUUUGAAGGUGCCUCCUUCUUGGCUCUUAGCUGCCCAAUAAGAGCUCAAGAAAGCCACGAGUCAAGGGGAACAAAUUCUCAUUUGAAGUAGAAUAAGCCAAACUGUCACCCCUGUCAGCAGCCCAGAGCUGAGUAGAACCUCCACCUCACCUGGAGCCAGCCCAAAUCUUCAAGACUUGCCCAGCCUGCUAAGCCUGAUGCAGAAAUAAUACUAAAACUUGGUGUCUUUGGUAAUAUUAAACUAUUCUUUAUUUUACAGCUCCCACUGUGGUUUCUGAAUGCUUUGGUGCUGAGCAGCUCCUCAAUUCCCUCUGAGGCACAAUCAUUUGUUUACUUGCUCUGCUCAUUUCAUUCUGCACUUGUGUAUGGCAACUACAAGAUGGCAUGUCGACUUUGAGAAUUUGGGGGGAAAAAGGGAGCGAGACAGUUAAAAGUUCCAGCCCUGAAAGCUUUUGACACAUCUUUCUGUC